UUUAUUUGUAUGUCGCCAUCCACUUUUUGUCCUCACUCUCUAUCAAUCUCUUCUACAACGGUACCCUCACCUCCGUGCCUCAACUCUUCUUAUCGUUCUUCCUCUGCAUAUCGUAAUCGCUUGGUGUGAAUCGCCAAAACUAUACUUUCCGCCAUCAGGAGAAUUCCUCUAGAUUUGAUUGAGGCAUCUCUCUCGGGCGCAAGACUAUCGAUUGUAGCUGCUCUUUGUAUGAUGUUUUUAUUUGGGAUGAAAUCAUUUCUCGUAGGAGUUGAGUAAUUAUUUGGUUAUCAGUACCUCCACAUCUGUAAUUGUCUACAAAAGUUCUUAUGGGGACUUCCUUCAAGUUGUCUCGAAUAUCAGGUGUCCUUCCAGGAAAAGAGCAUAAGCAUCAGUGAGAAUCGUCUAAGUCCAUUAUAUUUUUAAGUAUCAAAUUAAUUCAUUUUCUUAUAUUAGCUUUUGGGUUUUGCUUUUUUGGUGGAUUCGGGUCCUAAUAUAUGAGUACUUCUCUUCCUAAUGUUUGCAGAAGAAGUUUCGGCAAACGGAACAUCAACACUAAGAUGAUCAUUGGAGGGAUCUUUUAUAAGUAUAUAAAAAUAAAUUAAAUUAAAUUAAAUUAAGUGAGUAUUGACAGCUCUAUCGUUCUAAUAUAGAUUCCAUUUUUGAAUUUAUACAACAUUAGUAUAAUUAAUAUGGAAUGUGAAGAAUUUUUUCAGCAUAAAAUCCGUUCACUGUGUUGUCCGGGGAUUAGCCCAUCUUUAUUUGCAACAAAUGGAUGGAGUGAACAAUCUUAAGAAGGUGUGGAGGUAAAGAGUACUGUCAUUGUCACUCAAUAAGUUCAGUAAUUUAUCUUGACUAACUUGUUUUGCCACUUCAUCGAACAUAAGUGAAAUAGUAGAGCCAAUAGAAUAAUUGACAUGUAGCUCCAACGGAACCUAAUUGAAGGACAAUAAGAUUGGAAAUCAAAUAAAGUAAUUUUGAAAAUGUUAGAUUGUGAAGUAUCUUGUUAGAUAGGUAUAGUUUCGGUGCGUUUGGAUUUAGAGUUAUAGUAAUUUUGAUUUUGAUUGUGAAAAAGGACAAAUGAGUUGAGAU